rnacentral:rRNA from 1 species
GACGAACGCUGGCGGCGUGCUUAACACAUGCAAGUCGAACGGAAAGGCCCUGCUUUUGUGGGGUGCUCGAGUGGCGAACGGGUGAGUAACACGUGAGUAACCUGCCCUUGACUUUGGGAUAACUUCAGGAAACUGGGGCUAAUACCGGAUAGGAGCUCCUGCUGCAUGGUGGGGGUUGGAAAGUUUCGGCGGUUGGGGAUGGACUCGCGGCUUAUCAGCUUGUUGGUGGGGUAGUGGCUUACCAAGGCUUUGACGGGUAGCCGGCCUGAGAGGGUGACCGGCAAAAUUGGGACGGGGAUACGGCCAAGACGCCUAGGGGAGGCAAAAGGGGGGAAAAUUGCACAAGGGGCGGAAGCCGGAUGAAGAAAGGCGGGGUGGGGGAGGAGGGCCUUAGGGUUGUAAACCGCUUUGGCCUGGGACGAAGGGGGGGUGAGGGUAAGGGGUAAAGAAGAACGGCUUAACUACGG